rnacentral:rRNA from 1 species
AAUCAACGCUGGCGGCGUGCCUAACACAUGCAAGUCGAACGAGAAAGUGGAGCAAUCCAUGAGUAAAGUGGCGACCGGGUGAGUAACACGUGACUAACCUACCUUCGAGUGGGGGAUAACCUCGGGAAACCGGGGCUAAUACCGCAUAACAUCUUUGAAGUGGAAAUUUCGGAGAUCAAAGGAGCAAUUCGCUGGAAGAGGGGGUCGCGGCUGAUUAGCUAGUUGGCGGGGUAAC